rnacentral:lncRNA from 1 species
UGUCUGAUGAUCUCCAUGUGGGAGCUGCUUCUAUCAAGCGAGCUGUAAACUGGCUUUGUGAAAUAAAUGGGAAAAUCUACCUGUGAUGGUAUGCUUUCCCCAAAACUCAGAGUCUUUAGAGCAAACUCACAGAUCCCUGAGCACCUGUAUGUGGCAGGCAGAUUGAAGGCAGCCACAGCCAGGAAAACUUUCUGCUGGAACCUGAGUCUGGGAUCUUUUCCCUCCAUGGAGAAAACCUUUGUCCUUCAGGUGAUGGCAGAUGCCUAAAAGGAAACCUUCUUUGUCUUGGGAUGAUGGUAGAAGAGGUUAGUGCAAGCUGCCAUUUUGGUGCUACCCAUGAGACUAUACAUUAAUCCUUCAUGGUACUGUCUUUCUUGCAUCAGGACAAUUCUUUGGUGCAGUUCAAGAUGCAUCAGGUGAUGAGUAGAAAUAUGUUUGUCUCCAAAAAGGUGACAGUUCAGUGUUAGUGUAGAUGAAAGACAGUUGCUCUAGUUCUGCCCUGAAGUCUGAGUAAUUUUCAUUAGACUUGCUGUUGGUCAUUCUUUGCUGACCAGGAAUUCAGCACAAUGCUUAAGCAAAUAUUCUAUUUAGUCAGCUUCCCAACACUUGGUCUUUCCUUCACCCAUGGUAACUUCUAGCAUGUUUGUGAGUUAUUCAUUUGAAUGAAUUUUCUCUGUUGACUGCUGGCAAAAUAUAGAAAAAAAUCAAUAGCUAUUAGGAUUUGUAAUACCAUGGGAUCAAACUGGCAGAAAAACUGAAGACCCAUUAUUUAUUCACAUUUCUGAGUGCCAGCAUUUGUUACCUGCCUUCACUUCCUCCUGA